UACCAACUGGAUGAGCAGCGAACGGGUGAGUAACGCGUGGGGAAUCUGCCUUUGAGCGGGGGACAACAUUUGGAAACGAAUGCUAAUACCGCAUAAAAACUUUAAACACAAGUUUUAAGUUUGAAAGAUGCAAUUGCAUCACUCAAAGAUGAUCCCGCGUUGUAUUAGCUAGUUGGUGAGGUAAAGGCUCACCAAGGCGAUGAUACAUAGCCGACCUGAGAGGGUGAUCGGCCACAUUGGGACUGAGACACGGCCCAAACUCCUACGGGAGGCAGCAGUAGGGAAUCUUCGGCAAUGGACGAAAGUCUGACCGAGCAACGCCGCGUGAGUGAAGAAGGUUUUCGGAUCGUAAAACUCUGUUGGUAGAGAAGAACGUUGGUGAGAGUGGAAAGCUCAUCAAGUGACGGUAACUACCCAGAAAGGGACGGCUAACUACGUGCCAGCAGCCGCGGUAAUACGUAGGUCCCGAGCGUUGUCCGGAUUUAUUGGGCGUAAAGCGAGCGCAGGUGGUUUAUUAAGUCUGGUGUAAAAGGCAGUGGCUCAACCAUUGUAUGCAUUGGAAACUGGUAGACUUGAGUGCAGGAGAGGAGAGUGGAAUUCCAUGUGUAGCGGU
rnacentral:rRNA from 1 species